rnacentral:rRNA from 1 species
AUUGAACGCUGGCGGCAGGCCUAACACAUGCAAGUCGAGCGGAUGAGAAGAGCUUGCUCUUUGAUUCAGCGGCGGACGGGUGAGUAAUGCCUAGGAAUCUGCCUGGUAGUGGGGGACAACGUUUCGAAAGGAACGCUAAUACCGCAUACGUCCUACGGGAGAAAGCAGGGGACCUUCGGGCCUUGCGCUAUCAGAUGAGCCUAGGUCGGAUUAGCUAGUUGGUGAGGUAAUGGCUCACCAAGGCGACGAUCCGUAACUGGUCUGAGAGGAUGAUCAGUCACACUGGAACUGAGACACGGUCCAGACUCCUACGGGAGGCAGCAGUGGGGAAUAUUGGACAAUGGGCGAAAGCCUGAUCCAGCCAUGCCGCGUGUGUGAAGAAGGUCUUCGGAUUGUAAAGCACUUUAAGUUGGGAGGAAGGGCAGUAAGUUAAUACCUUGCUGUUUUGACGUUACCGACAGAAUAAGCACCGGCUAACUCUGUGCCAGCAGCCGCCGCAGUA